GAUGAACGCUAGCGGCAGGCCUAACACAUGCAAGUCGAACGGUAACAGGGAUUAGCUUGCUAAUCCGCUGACGGGUGGCGCACGGGUGCGUAACGCGUAUACAAUCUGCCUUCUGGAGAGGGAUAGCCCAUGGAAACGUGGAUUAAUACCUCAUGGUAUAUAGAUAUCUCCUGAUAUUUAUAUUAAACAUUUAUGGCCAGAAGAUGAGUAUGCGUCCUAUUAGCUAGAUGGAGUGGUAACGGCACCCCAUGGCGACGAUAGGUAGGGGUCCUGAGAGGGAGAUCCCCCACACUGGUACUGAGACACGGACCAGACUCCUACGGGAGGCAGCAGUGAGGAAUAUUGGACAAUGGGCGAGAGCCUGAUCCAGCCAUGCCGCGUGCAGGAAGACUGCCCUAUGGGUUGUAAACUGCUUUUGUACGGGAAGAAACAGCUCUACGUGUAGAGCCUUGACGGUACCGUAAGAAUAAGGAUCGGCUAACUCCGUGCCAGCAGCCGCGGUAAUACGGAGGAUCCAAGCGUUAUCCGGAAUCAUUGGGUUUAAAGGGUCCGUAGGCAGAUUUAUAAGUCAGUGGUGAAAGUCUGCAGCUUAACUGUAGAAUUGCCAUUGAUACUGUAGAUC
rnacentral:rRNA from 1 species